rnacentral:rRNA from 1 species
UACGUAGGGCGCAAGCGUUGUCCGGAAUUAUUGGGCGUAAAGAGCUCGUAGGCGGCUUGUCACGUCGGGUGUGAAAGCCCGGGGCUUAACCCCGGGUCUGCAUUCGAUACGGGCUAGCUAGAGUGUGGUAGGGGAGAUCGGAAUUCCUGGUGUAGCGGUGAAAUGCGCAGAUAUCAGGAGGAACACCGGUGGCGAAGGCGGAUCUCUGGGCCAUUACUGACGCUGAGGAGCGAAAGCGUGGGGGGCGAACAGG